rnacentral:rRNA from 1 species
UACAGAGGGGGCAAGCGUUGUUCGGAAUUACUGGGCGUAAAGGGCGCGUAGGCGGCCCGCUAAGUCGAACGUGAAAUCCCCGGGCUCAACCCGGGAACUGCGUCCGAUACUGGUGGGCUCGAAUCCGGGAGAGGGAUGCGGAAUUCCAGGUGUAGCGGUGAAAUGCGUAGAUAUCAGGAGGAACACCAAUGGCGAAGGCAGCACUCUGGGACGUGACUGACGCUGAGACGCGAAAGCGUGGGGAGCAAACAGG